rnacentral:tRNA from 1 species
GUGGGAUUCGCAUAGCGGCAAUUGCAGCGGUCUGUAAAAUCGCCGGCCUAACGGCCUACACUGGUUCGAGUCCAUUAUCCCACACCA